rnacentral:rRNA from 1 species
UACGUAGGGUGCGAGCGUUAAUCGGAAUUACUGGGCGUAAAGCGUGCGCAGGCGGUUUUGUAAGACAGGCGUGAAAUCCCCGGGCUCAACCUGGGAACUGCCUUUGUGACUGCAUAGCUAGAGUACGGUAGAGGGGGAUGGAAUUCCGCGUGUAGCAGUGAAAUGCGUAGAUAUGCGGAGGAACACCGAUGGCGAAGGCAAUCCCCUGGACCUGUACUGACGCUCAUGCACGAAAGCGUGGGGAGCAAACAGG